UCCGUAGGGACCAAGCGUUGUUCGGAUUUACUGGGCGUAACGGGCGCGUAGGCGGCUUAACAAGUCACUUGUGAAAUCUCCGGGCUUAACUCGGAACGGCCAAGUGAAACUGUCAAGCUAGAGUGCAGAAGGGGCAAUCGGAAUUCUUGGUGUAGCGGUGAAAUGCGUAGAUAUCAGGAGGAACACCUGUGGUGUAGACAGCUUACUG
rnacentral:rRNA from 1 species